UACGUAGGGGGCAAGCGUUGUCCGGAUUUAUUGGGCGUAAAGAGCGUGUAGGCGGCUCGAUAAGUCUGCUGUGAAAGUCCAGGGCUCAACCCUGGAAGGCCGGUGGAAACUGUCGGGCUAGAGUCCGGAAGAGGCGAGUGGAAUUCCCGGUGUAGCGGUGAAAUGCGCAGAUAUCGGGAGGAACACCAAUGGCGAAGGCAGCUCGCUGGGACGGUACUGACGCUGAGACGCGAAAGCGUGGGGAGCAAACA
rnacentral:rRNA from 1 species